rnacentral:rRNA from 1 species
CAGCAGCCACGGGAAUACGUAGGGUGCAAGCGUUAAUCGGAAUUACUGGGCGUAAAGCGUGCGCAGGCGGUUUGUUAAGACAGAUGUGAAAUCCCCGGGCUUAACCUGGGAACUGCAUUUGUGACUGGCAAGCUAGAGUAUGGCAGAGGGGGGUGGAAUUCCGCGUGUAGCAGUGAAAUGCGUAGAUAUGCGGAGGAACACCGAUGGCGAAGGCAGCCCCCUGGGCCAAUACUGACGCUCAUGCACGAAAGCGUGGGGAGCAAACAGGAUUAGAUACCCCGGUAGUCCCUGUCUCUUAUAC